rnacentral:rRNA from 1 species
AUUGAACGCUGGCGGCAGGCCUAACACAUGCAAGUCGAACGAGUGGCGGACGGGUGAGUAAUGUCUGGGAAACUGCCUGAUGGAGGGGGAUAACUACUGGAAACGGUAGCUAAUACCGCAUACCAUCAGAUGUGCCCAGAUGGGAUUAGCUAGCUGGUGGGGUUACGGCUCACCAAGGCGACGAUCCCUAGCUGGUACGAGAUGAUGACCAGCCUCACUGGCACUGGUACACGGUCCAGUGUCCUACGGGAGGAAGCAGUGGGGAAUAUUGCACAAUGGGCGCAAGCCUGAUGCAGCCAUGCCGCGUGUAUGAAGAAGGCCUUCGGUUUGUAAAGUACUUUCAGCGGGUAGGCGUUACCCGCACAAGAAGCACCGGCUAACUCCGUGCCAGCAGCCGCGGUAAUUC